rnacentral:rRNA from 1 species
CGUAAGGGGUACCUGCGGAAGGAUCAUUACCGAGUGCGGGUCCUUUGGGCCCAACCUCCCAUCCGUGUCUAUUGUACCCUGUUGCUUCGGCGGGCCCGCCGCUUGUCGGCCGCCGGGGGGGCGCCUCUGCCCCCCGGGCCCGUGCCCGCCGGAGACCCCAACACGAACACUGUCUGAAAGCGUGCAGUCUGAGUUGAUUGAAUGCAAUCAGUUAAAACUUUCAACAAUGGAUCUCUUGGUUCCGGCAUCGAUGAAGAACGCAGCGAAAUGCGAUAACUAAUGUGAAUUGCAGAAUUCAGUGAAUCAUCGAGUCUUUGAACGCACAUUGCGCCCCCUGGUAUUCCGGGGGGCAUGCCUGUCCGAGCGUCAUUGCUGCCCUCAAGCCCGGCUUGUGUGUUGGGUCGCCGUCCCCCUCUCCAGGGGGACGGGCCCGAAAGGCAGCGGCGGCACCGCGUCCGAUCCUCGAGCGUAUGGGGCUUUGUCACAUGCUCUGUAGGAUUGGCCGGCGCCUGCCGACGUUUUCCAACCAUUCUUUCCAGGUUGACCUCGGAUCAGGUAGGGAUACCCGCUGA